rnacentral:sRNA from 1 species
GCGGCGCGAGUUCCCUGCUCACCCUCCCUCCCCGCGGAAGUCCCCACGAGGUGGCUUCAGGGUGUAACAGAGCGCGCGGCUCCUGUCCGAAGGCAGCGGCCGGGGGAGGGAAGGAGGGGACCGAAUCCCCGAGGAGUUUCCCAGAAUCAACUUCUGGUUAGAGUUAUGGGAAGCGCGGUUAUGGACACCAAGAAGAAAAAAGAUGUUUCCAGCCCCGGCGGGAGCGGCGGCAAGAAAAAUGCCAGCCAGAAGAGGCGUUCGCUGCGCGUGCACAUUCCGCACUCUCAACGCCCUGUGAGCGCCCACGGUUGGAUGGAGGGAGGGUCGCCCAGAUUCACCCCCAGCCGCCAUCCCUGUGGCCAGCACUGCCUCUUUCUCUCCCUCUUCUUCCACCUUAUCUUCCUGUCCAUUUUCCCCCUUUCCCUCCCCCAUAAUUGACCCCAAUGUGGAAUUGAGGGUCAUUUCAAAAUAUUUCUGAUACUGUUUGAAGAAAAUAAACUUUAUCU